GCGCCGGUGGUGUAAGGCGAACAUCGCUGCCCGGAAAGUAGAAGAUGCGGGUUCGAGCCCGCCAGGCGCA
rnacentral:tRNA from 1 species